rnacentral:rRNA from 1 species
AGUGAACGCUGGCGGUAGGCCUAACACAUGCAAGUCGAACGGCAGCACAGUAAGAGCUUGCUCUUACGGGUGGCGAGUGGCGGACGGGUGAGGAAUACAUCGGAAUCUACUUUUUCGUGGGGGAUAACGUAGGGAAACUUACGCUAAUACCGCAUACGACUACGGGUGAAAGCAGGGGAUCUUCGGACCUUGCGCGAUUGAAUGAGCCGAUGUCGGAUUAGCUAGUUGGCGGGGUAAAGGCCCACCAAGGCGACGAUCCGUAGCUGGUCUGAGAGGAUGAUCAGCCACACUGGAACUAAGACACGGUCCAGACUCCUACGGGAGGCAGCAGUGGGGAAUAUUGGACAAUGGGCGCAAGCCUGAUCCAGCCAUACCGCGUGGGUGAAGAAGGCCUUCGGGUUGUAAAGCCCUUUUGUUGGGAAAGAAAAGCAGCAGGUUAAUACCCCGCUGUUCUGACGGUACCCAAAGAAUAAGCACCGGCUAACUUCGUG